UCCUUAUUACCUCCAUUAAAAUUUAUGAUGAACACCAAAAGAAUUAAUCUAAUUUUCUGUCAUUAGCUUAUUAACUUGAUUCUAAACAAAACCUCUAUUCAUUUCACAGUUUUCCCCACUUCUAAAUUCUUUUAUCAGCCUCUCUAAAAAUCGCGAAUUCAAGUAAAGAUCAAGGCUAAGGCUCAAGACUUCAUCUCUCGGUUUCUCCCUCAUUUCUUAACGAAAUCCGUGUCAUAAGCUAUGGACAAUCAUCAUGACUCGUACCAUAUCCGUUGCGGGUCGGGGUAUGACACUUUAAAUGUUAUGCAACAUUGGAAAAGAUACACGUACAUAGAGGAUGGAUUUAUGUUUUGUGUUCAAAGUGCACCAAACAACUAUAUCCAGAGGAGGAUGGAUCUCUUAACUAUGUGUGUAAAGAUGACAAUGAUGUGCAACCAAAAUUCAUGUUAUGUGUCAACGCACUCAUCAGCGACUAUACCGACACAAAAGAGGUCACAUUCUAAAAUAAUGUUGGCCAGCAGUCUUUAACACAUGAUGAUGAAGCAAGGGUUUACAGAUUCAAAGAAACUCCCAGACCAAAUAACGCUCAUGGAAGGCAAGGAAAAAAUGAUGCAUCUGUUUGUGAGGAAGGAUCAGUAUGUGGUGACAAGGGUUGUAGAAGAGGCGGCAACAGGUUCAUGUGAUACACCAACAAACACUAUCGGUAAGAGUGCACAUUCGACAACAACGGUGAUCAAGCCUCCAUCAACACCCAAUCCAAAAGCAAGCAUGCCAAAAAGGACAGUAACAGACUCACCAGGUGGCAGCCAUGAUGCUAAGAAAGGUCCCACACAGCUGUGAAGCUAACCAAAAUAUACUUUUGUGAAGUGAAAUGUUCACAAGACUUGUUGGUUGAACAUCAAAAGGACAAUUAAUUUUGUAAAAAAUUUAUAACUUUUGGUUGUACAAUAUGUACCUACAAAGCUGUAAACAGACACGUAACAUGGUUCAUGUCGUUAUGUAACAACCCUGCAUCGCGAGGAGGCCCAAACCUUUGUUUAAGGCAUUGUUGGUUGUACUCUUUGCUUUCUUCGUU